CGCUCUCUGCGGUGUUCGCCAGCAGGAAAGUAAUAUGCCUUGUCCCUACUUAUCGACCUCGGGACGGCGCCUUUCAUCGCUGGUGUGCCGGUCGCGUAACCGCGAAUGGCCUGAAGGCGUGAAGAGCCGACCCACUUGAACCUCUGGUUCAAGGUCACCGACCUGCAGCGGCACAGGCGGAGAGCGC
rnacentral:other from 1 species